AUUCAGCUGACGAGCCCCAAAAUAGGACGAAAAGUGAGUCCUGGAU
rnacentral:hammerhead_ribozyme from 1 species